rnacentral:rRNA from 1 species
AACGCAUGCAAGUCGAGGGGUAACGAGAGGGAAGCUUGCUUUCCUUGUCGACGACCGGCGCACGGGUGAGUAACGCGUAUCCAACCUGCCCACAACUAAGGAAUAACCUUGCGAAAGUAAGACUAAUACCUUAUAAUUUCCUCUGAAGGCAUCGGAUGAGGAAUAAAGAUUUAUCGGUUAUGGAUGGGGAUGCGUCUGAUUAGCUUGUUGGCGGGGUAACGGCCCACCAAGGCAACGAUCAGUAGGGGUUCUGAGAGGAAGGUCCCCCACAUUGGAACUGAGACACGGUCCAAACUCCUACGGGAGGCAGCAGUGAGGAAUAUUGGUCGAUGGGCGAGAGCCUGAACCAGCCAAGUAGCGUGCAGGAAGACGGCCCUAUGGGUUGUAAANUGCUUUUAUACAGGAAUAAAGUUAGCCACGUGUGGUUAUUUGUAGGUACUGUAUGAAUAAGAACCGGCUAAUUCCGUGCCAGCAGCCGCGGUAAUACGGAAGGUCCARGSGUUAUCCGGAUUUAUUGGGUUUAAAGGGAGCGUAGGCCGUCUGUUAAGCGUGUUGUUGAAAUGUAGAUGCUCAACAUCUGAAUUGCAGCGCGAACUGGCAGACUUGAGUGUGCGCGACGUAGGCGGAAUUCGUGGUGUAGCGGUGAAAUGCUUAGAUAU